rnacentral:rRNA from 1 species
GCCUUCGGGUUGUAACCUCUUUUAGUAGGGAAGAAGCGAAAGUGACGGUACCUGCAGAAAAAGCACCGGCUAACUACGUGCCAGCAGCCGCGGUAAUACGUAGGGUGCGAGCGUUGUCCGGAAUUAUUGGGCGUAAAGAGCUCGUAGGCGGUUUGUCACGUCUGCUGUGAAAACCCGAGGCUCAACCUCGGGCCUGCAGUGGGUACGGGCAGACUAGAGUGCGGUAGGGGAGAACGGAAUUCCUGGUGUAGCGGUGGAAUGCGCAGAUAUCAGGAGGAACACCGAUGGCGAAGGCAGUUCUCUGGGCCGUAACUGACGCUGAGGAGCGAAAGCGUGGGGAGCGAACAGGAUUAGAUACCCUGGUAGUCC